rnacentral:ncRNA from 14 species
ACUACUCUGCGCGCGCUGGGUGCCCCGACAUUUAGUCAGGGGUGAAACAGGAGAUCGGUGCGCCAGAUAUCGAUCUGACAAUUCCGACGCUGCCCCGCAACGGUAGACGAGUCAAGCCAACGCUUUUCAACCACUGUGCUCAGCAUGGGAAGGUGCGUUCGCUGGUGUGCUGAUCUUCAGCAGACAACUCGUAAGCCGGAGACCGGCCUGUCGCAGUUCACGGCAU